ACAUAAAAUGAUACAAAGAAGAUUAAAUUGUAACGAUACAAAGAAGAUUAACAUGAUCCUUGCAUAUGGAUGGAAUACUUAAAAUGCUCUCCUAUUACAUUUGU